CCACCAUGAUGAUUUUAGUCUGGUUUCGCUUGUGUCGGAUAUUAAAUGAAGACACUUCUCUUGGCUGUCUGAGUGG